rnacentral:rRNA from 1 species
UACGGAGGGGGCUAGCGUUGUUCGGAAUUACUGGGCGUAAAGCGCACGUAGGCGGAUUUGUAAGUCAGGGGUGAAAUCCCGGGGCUCAACCUCGGAACUGCCUUCGAUACUGCGGGUCUCGAGUCCGGGAGAGGUGAGUGGAAUUCCUAGUGUAGAGGUGAAAUUCGUAGAUAUUAGGAAGAACACCAGUGGCGAAGGCGGCUCACUGGCCCGGUACUGACGCUGAGGCGACGAAAGCGUGGGGAGCAAACAGG